rnacentral:tRNA from 1 species
GGGCGAUUAGCUCAGAGGUAGAGCACUACCUUGACACGGUAGGAGUCACUGGUUCGAUUCCAGUAUCGCCCAUCA